UACGGAGGGUGCAAGCAUUGAUCGGAAUUACUGGGCGUAAAGGGCGCGUAGGCGGUCAGAUCAGUCAGAUGUGAAAUUCCGGGGCUCAACCCCGGAGCUGCAUUUGAAACUAUUUGACUAGAGUAUACUUAGGGAAAACGGAAUUCCACGUGUAGCGGUGAAAUGCGUAGAUAUGUGGAAGAACACCGGUGGUGAAGACGGUUUUCUGGGGUAAAACUGACGCUGAGGCGCGAAAGCUAGGGGAGCAAACAGG
rnacentral:rRNA from 1 species